UAGGGAAUCUUCGGCAAUGGACGAAAGUCUGACCGAGCAACGCCGCGUGAGUGAAGAAGGUUUUCGGAUCGUAAAACUCUGUUGGUAGAGAAGAACGUUGGUGAGAGUGGAUAGCUCAUCAAGUGACGGUAACUACCCAGAAAGGGACGGCUAACUACGAGCCAC
rnacentral:rRNA from 1 species